AAGAACCCUACCUGUAUAUCUAUUUCUGCUAAUAAUCCUUUGACUAAAGUAUCUAGAGUAGACUCAGAUAAAUGCUCCAAACACAUAACUUGUUCAUUUAAGCACUGACUUAAAUAAUCUUAGGAAGCAAAAUUCAUAUUUUAUUUGGCCUCUUUAGACUGCCAUUCUAAGCACACCUACCUGGAAAUGAGUUCAAUUAAAAUCAAAAUGUGAGGUAAAUAUGCUGAAAAUAUGUUCAUCCUCCAAGUUCCCAGCAUUCCUCUGAUUGCCUUAGUAAAUGAAAGAUGGUCUUGCAAUGGUUGAACAGGAUUCAGGGGAAUGCUGGAGAGAAGCCAUACUCCAUCUUAUCUACCUGACAUUCCAGUCUGAAUAUUUAAAUAUGGCUGCUUUCUGCAGGAUGGUGAAAAGCUAAAUUAGAAGAAAGUAGUUUUUCUUGUGAGGAGAUCUUAUCAGCAGUCAAUCUAGGUCUCUUGUACUUCUUCCUGGUUUGUCAAGAUUUUAGCACACUUGAGGUGGCAUUGAAGCAGAUGCACAACAGAUGUAGACAAAGUACAGAACAGUGGAACAAUCUAUGUGUUUGGGGACACUGCAGCUAAAGAUUUGGGGUUUGCUAAUAUUUUACAUGGGAGAAUGAAAGUUGACUGGAACCAUCCUGAGAGUCAUUGACUAAAUAAGAAUGGUAUUAAAAUGUCUUAAAUAAAUAAAGCACACUAGUGAAGAUUAAAGACCCAAUCCUAUGCAUCUUUGCACAGAAAAUGUCCAGAAAAAGGUUUUCGGUUCAGCCUUAGGGAACAAGGAGGGUCCAGGCUAGACAGACUAAUAGGACCUUUUACUUAUCCAUAACAUCCAACCCUAUUGAUCUUUGCUUAAUAAACCACUAUUUCUUUUUGCUCUGUAAAUAUCUGUACAUAUAAGCACAAACUUGGAUCCAGUGGAAUGAGCAGUACACAGUCUCACUACCUUUACAAUAUCCUAGGAACUUGCCUUGCAAAAAGUUUCCAGAUAGGUUGAGGCCCUUUUUGUUGUUGUUGUUUCUUAGUUUUAGUUAAUUAAAGCUAAUUGUUAAAUCAUCUAUGAGUUAGGCAGAUUAAGUCAAAUCACCAAAUGGAAAGCUACGUUUAAAUUGCUAAUUUGAUCACCUUUUCCACUGAUUCUUUUUCCAUUUCUAAAAAAUUGCUCACUUGACAUAAAUACUGAGUUUCCAUCUCACUGGAGCUGUGAAACAAGACUUGCAGAACUAGGAAGAUAUUCUAUAUAAGUAUUAGACUGGUGAUUUCACUUAAACUGCCCAAUACCAUGCUCUAUCAACAAUUGCUAGAAGCUGUUUAUGAACCAGCUGUGAAGGAAAUUUAUGUGGACUGUACAGAAUUGCAAAUAUUUAAGUAUGAGGUUUAAACAUUCAGGAAAUCAGAAGGUAGGUAGGCUGAAGUUACAAAAUAAAGUUCUAUUGCUGCUAA